ACGAAACACAAUCGGGUCAGGCUCAUUUGCAGGGAGAGGAAUGAGCCUGUUCGGCCUGUCAAUGGUUAUUUAUAUAUAUAUAUAUUCAUCUUGUCUGUUUCUUAGGGUGAGAGAAAGAGUCUAUAUAUUCAUCGCUGACCACAAGGGAUCAACGAGACGCUUCCAAGCCGCCAAAUAGAUUGAGAGAAGUCCGCAAGCUGUGGUUUUCAUAGAAGCUUACCAGAGAGAUGGAUGCUGGCAAAUAGCCAGAGAAAGAAGAUGAAGGCGACGACGACGAAGACGAAGAAGAUGAAGGAAGCAUCAUAGAAGACAUUAAGAUGCAGUGUCUCAGUCGAGUCAGUAAUUAACCAAAUUAAUAUGGGUUGUUUAACAUGUCUCUUGGGUUCAUAGCUCCUGAGUAGUGAGUGGAAUACAGAUGGAUACUGGAAUUAAAUUCUAGAAAUUUCAUCCUAUCAUUAUCAUUAGCUAAAUGAUUGGGACCAGACUACAUCCAGCAAGUCAACCACUUUUGUCUCUGGGGAAAAUUUCACAGUACUAUAAGUUUAGGAACUUGUCCUUUAUAUAUCAUGCAGUUAUUAAAGUUGGAGAAGUACAGAAUAAUGUAUUAUCAUGUUAUGCUCUGGCACCUGCAGUUUCUCUUCUCUCAACCAACAAUCAUUAGACAUAUGUAAACUGAAUGACAUUUUACGACAUAACAGAUGUCUCCACCUGUCUGUUUGGUCAGUGGUCAACCAAGAAAUACACCCACGCGAUUGUAGUCCCAAAGUGUCAAAAUUUAUUGAAUACUUUCUCAUGCUUCUAACUUCCAGAACUUCAAUUUUACUCAUACUUAUGCACAUCUACCUGCUAUAUUGUUUGUUGGGCCACCAUGUACUGAAUAUAUAUGCUAGCUGAUUUUUUAAGAUUUGUGUAAAAAUGUUUCAGCACAAUUUGGAAGACAUCAAGCUUGCUGGGAUCCAGAAUUAUAAGGAAUAUUUUUUAUAAAAAGAAGUAUUUGUUUUACAGGAAAGUGAGCUUGGCUUUGUUCCUUGAGGACCUUUUAUUCUCCAAUAGAUGGCGAGCAAAUCUAGCCCAUAGAAGCAUGUUCAAACUGAUGAUGGAGAGACGACCAAAAUAAAUGCUAAAUUCAUAUUUCUAAAAUAACAAAGUGCAAGAAAGACCUUUUCUUUUUUGCCUUGCAUUGUCAUCUUUGUGGUGCUUUA